UCGAAUUUCGAGGGGGAAGAUGGAGGGGAAGACUGUCGCUGGCUUUCACUGGGAAGCAUGUGCACGCCUUUCGUUUCGUCGACCUUUCUCUUACUCUCACACCUGUGCACACAUUGUAGGUCCUCGAAAGAGGAUCUAUGUCUUUAUCAUCACACACAUAGCAUGUCUAGAAUGUAUCAUGAUCGUCGACCGACUUUGCGGUCGGGCGGUGGUCAAACAAAUAAAUAC
rnacentral:misc_RNA from 1 species